rnacentral:rRNA from 1 species
GACGAACGCUGGCGGCGUGCCUAAUACAUGCAAGUAGAACGCUGAAGGAGGAGCUUACUUCUCUGGAUGAGUUGCGAACGGGUGAGUAACGCGUAGGUAACCUGCCUGGUAGCGGGGGAUAACUAUUGGAAACGAUAGCUAAUACCGCAUAAGAGUAGAUGUUGCAUGACAUUUACUUAAAAGGUGCAAUUGCACCACUACCAGAUGGACCUGCGUUGUAUUAGCUAGUUGGUGGGGUAACGGCUUACCAAGGCGACGAUACAUAGCCGACCUGGGAGGGUGAUCGGCCACACUGGGACUGAGACACGGCCCAGACUCCUACGGGAGGCAGCAGUAGGGAAUCUUCGGCAAUGGACGGAAGUCCGACCGAGCAACGCCGCGUGAGUGAAGAAGGUUUUCGGAUCGUAAAGCUCUGUUGUAAGAGAAGAACGAGUGUGAGAGUGGAAAGUUCACACUGUGACGGUAUCUUACCAGAAAGGGACGGCUAACUACGUGCCAGCAGCCGCCGUAA